CAAUUCCCCUCUCUCACGCGAGCUCCAUGGCCACAACCUUGCCGCCGCCUCCAAAUCAGGGCAGCUCCGGCGCAGUUCCGCGGCCCUGCUCACCGCCCCCUCCCUGCUCACUGUUCUUAUCCUAUCUUCCGUCGCCGGAACGUCGUCCCCGUCCCUGCACACGCCUCCGCAGCAACCCUAUUCGCCACGGGUCGCUGGCGCGGCUCCUCCGCCUCCGGUUUAUCUGCCAACUACCCCUGCGUCUCCGCACCCACGGACGCCCGUUCGAGCUCAACGGUGCUACUCCGCCAGGGUCACCUCGACUCCGAUACCGUCUGUUCUAACCAGAUCACAUCCUUGAUCCAGUGCAUCGCUCCAUGGUCUGAGCUCCACUGUCGUCAUCUGCAAGUGAAAUAUGACUACCUAGGGAUGGCCGUUGUGUCAUCAUAGAUCACAGGUGGACAACAACCAUCAUGGUGAGCGACCUUACUCGAUCCUGGAGGCCCAACAUUCCACUUCACAUUUCUAGAUUUUCAUGGCAGAUCAAGUAAAUAAGAUGUGACGGUAUCUCUGGAUAUCUGAGCUGUGACCCUGUGACAAACUUACGAAAGAAGAUUCCUUCAAGUAUCACUUAAUAGGUUCUGAAGUGAUUUUGCUUCAGCUAACAUGCUUGCAUUAGCUUUUCUCUUACAGCUUCCAGUACAUCCGAUUUCCCAAGCUUUCUGUACCUAUUUGUAUUGUUGAUCAAUCAUUUGUCAAUCGUCGAGCUACCUUAAGCUGCACCAAAGGCGCACCCCCGCAUUGAUUGCAAGAUAAAUAGAUGGUCCAUGGCUAAGCUGCUGAUUGCAAGAUAAAUAGAUGGUACAUGGCUAAGGUCCUGAUUGCAAGGCGGAGAAUGGGGCAACUACCAGAUAGUUCUACAUUAAUGUUAUUGAGUGUUAUUUUCAUUUCGAUGUAUAGGAAAUCAUGUGUAUAUUCCUUGGAUCGUGUUCCAUGUAUUGCAAAC